UACGUAGGGGGCAAGCGUUGUCCGGAUUUAUUGGGCGUAAAGAGCGUGUAGGCGGCCAGGUAGGUCCGUUGUGAAAACUCGAGGCUCAACCUCGAGACGUCGGCGGAAACCCUCUGGCUAGAGUCCGGAAGAGGAGAGUGGAAUUCCUGGUGUAGCGGUGAAAUGCGCAGAUAUCAGGAAGAACACCUAUUGCGAAGGCAGCUCGCUGGGACGUAACUGACGCUGAGACGCGAAAGCGUGGGGAGCAAACAGG
rnacentral:rRNA from 1 species